GCGCGAGUGGCGGAAUUGGCAGACGCGCAGGAUUUAGGUUCCUGUGUCUACGGACGUGAGGGUUCAAGUCCCUCCUCGCGCA
rnacentral:tRNA from 1 species